rnacentral:lncRNA from 1 species
AUGUCGAGCACGUCUACAAAGGCGUCACGGAGAACGAACGCGGUUAUUCAUUAUGCUCAGGUGUGUACAAACAGGAGAAACAUCCUCAAGUCUCGAUAUUUAUAGAGCCGUCCAGACAUAAUAAUAACUUAAUUACAGUAACGAGGGCGGAUCAUCCUCUGCAGUCUAUCACCACGCGUGACAGACAACGGGGCGCAUAACUUUCUUCGCCCGCGAGAUGGAAAACCCUGUAAAAUUACCCACCUAUUAUAACAGGUAAUGUCUAUAUGCCGAAUUUAUUCUGUAGCGUUUCUCAACAGUCCCCAUAAUAAGGGGUCUUGAGCAGCAGCAGGCAGCUUCAGGCGUCGUCUUCCUUGUCUGCAAAGACGUCAAGAAGGGAAAGAGCCUGC